rnacentral:rRNA from 1 species
CAUGCAAGUCGAACGGAAAGGCCUCUUUGGGGGUGCUCGAGUGGCGAACGGGUGAGUAACACGUGGGUGAUCUGCCCUGCACUUUGGGAUAAGCCUGGGAAACUGGGUCUAAUACCGGAUAGGACUACGAAUCGCAUGGUUUGUGGUGGAAAGCUUUUGCGGUGUGGGAUGGGCCCGCGGCCUAUCAGCUUGUUGGUGGGGUGAUGGCCUACCAAGGCGACGACGGGUAGCCGGCCUGAGAGGGUGUCCGGCCACACUGGGACUGAGAUACGGCCCAGACUCCUACGGGAGGCAGCAGUGGGGAAUAUUGCACAAUGGGCGCAAGCCUGAUGCAGCGACGCCGCGUGAGGGAUGACGGCCUUCGGGUUGUAAACCUCUUUCAACGCCGACGAAGCGGAAGUGACGGUAGGCGGAGAAGAAGCACCGGCCAACUACGUGCCAGCAGCCGCGGUAAUACGUAGGGUGCGAGCGUUGUCCGGAAUUACUGGGCGUAAAGAGCUCGUAGGUGGUUUGUCGCGUUGUUCGUGAAAACUCACA